UACUAACAAGAUGGCCAUCAGUGAA
rnacentral:piRNA from 1 species